CAUGCGCAGUGAACGUGUUUACACUACAGGAAACAAUCCCUUGCACUGCCUCGGCGCACCUCCCAGCACAGCAGGGAAAGCACUGAUGUUUGGAGGUAUUUUCCCGCCAUCUUUUUCGCAUAAAGAACACGGAAAGGCCUUCUGGACGGCAGCAUGUAAUCGUUCUUGUUCGCCUAAUGGAAAGGGGUGCGUUUCAGGCAUGCAAAACAGGUUUCCCUUGGACAAGACCUUUACUGGUGGGGGCCCCUUUGUGGUGGGGGCCCCGGAGCAAGUGCCCCGUCUGCCCUGCCCUAAAUCCGGCGCUGGAAGAAAGUAGUAAAAUCAAGAAGCCCUCGUACUCAAGGAAAUGUCGUCGUUUAUUCCAGAAUACAGCCACGAAUACAUGUCGGAACAAAACUUUA